GAUGAACGCUAGCGGCGUGCCUAACACAUGCAAGUCGAACGUGAGGGGGUACUUGUAUCCCUGAAAGUGGCGGACGGGUGAGUAAGACGUAGGUGGCCUGCCUCGAAGUGGGGGAUAACCAUUGGAAACGAUGGCUAAUACCGCAUAAGCUGGUGACGAUGGGAAUGGUUAUCAGGAAAGCUUUAGUGCUUUGAGAGGGGCCUACGGCCGAUUAGCUAGUUGGUGAGGUAAAGGCUCACCAAGGCGAUGAUCGGUAGCUGGUCUGAGAGGACGAUCAGCCACACGGGAACUGAGACACGGUCCCGACUCCUACGGGAGGCAGCAGUAAGGAAUAUUGCUCAAUGGCCGAAAGGCUGAAGCAGCAACGCCGCGUGGAGGAUGAAAUACUUUUGUAUGUAAACUCCUGUAAGAAGGGAAAAUAAUUCCGAUUUAUCGGGAUUGAUUGUACCUUCAGAGUAAGCCCCGGCUAACUACGUGCCAGCAGCCG
rnacentral:rRNA from 1 species